AGUGAACGCUGGCGGUAGGCCUAACACAUGCAAGUCGAACGGCAGCACAGUAAGAGCUUGCUCUUACGGGUGGCGAGUGGCGGACGUGUGAGGAAUACAUCGGAAUCUACUUUUUCGUGGGGGAUAACGUAGGGAAACUUACGCUAAUACCGCAUACGACCUACGGGUGAAAGCAGUGGAUCUUCGGACCUUGCGCGAUUGAAUGAGCCGAUGUGGGAUUAGCUAGUUGGCGGGGUAAAGGCCCACCAAGGCGACGAUCCGUAGCUGGUCUGAGAGGAUGAUCAGCCACACUGGAACUGAGACACGGUCCAGACUCCUACGGGAGGGAGCAGUGUGGAAUAUUGGACAAUGGGGGCAAGCAUGAUCCAGCCAUACCGCGUGGGUGAAGAAGGCCUUCGGGUUGUAAAGCCGUUUUGUUGGGAAAGAAAAGCAGCAGGUUAAGACCCCGCUGUUCUGACGGUACCCAAAGAAUAAGCACCGGCUAACUUCGUG
rnacentral:rRNA from 1 species